AGAGCAAUCAAGAGAGAGAAAGAGAGAGAGAAAGAGAACCUAAUCUGGCUAGCUCGAUCUAGAAAGAAAACCAUCGAUCGAGCGAGCAGACGUCCGAUCUCCGAGAAAGAACCAAAUCCUCACGAUCUCCAACCGUCGGCGCUCGAUCUCCGAUCUCACGCCAAUGGAGGAAAACCUUCGCCUUCGACUAAAGCUCGGGAAAGAAAAGCGAAAACCGAGAGAUCCAGAGAGGGAGCUCUGAGAGAGAAUCGAGAACUGAGAGUCUCUUUGCUCGAGCAAGCUAACCUCCGAUCUCCAGAAAGAUAGACAUAUCUGCUGUCGCCGUCAUCGUCGAUGUCGCCGAUCAAAGAGCCGAACCCGCUCAAGAGCCACCGAGAGAGAAAAACGAAGAACCAGAGAGAUCAAGCGAGAGCCCCCUCGUGUGGACGAACACCGGUGGAGGUUAUCACUGCUGAGAAGAGAGUGAGAUCCGGCGAUUUAGGGUUUACUCCCAUCUCCCAUCGAAGAGCUCAUCGAGCAAUUACAAAGAGAUAGAGAGAGAAUCCCCGAGAGAGUACGUGAGUCUAGAGGUUUCAAGAGCGCUCGUGAGAGAGAAUUCGCGCGCGAAAAAAUCCGAGCCCCCUCUACGCCAAAAAAUGAGCGAGCCUUUAUAUAUUUUUUUUCAACGUUUUUUUUUCCUUUUUUUUCUUUUUCUUUUCUUUUUGGUUCCUUUUUUUUCUCUUCAUUCAUUCUUCCUUCUUUUUCUUCUUUUUUUUUUUUUUCUUUCUUCUCUCUUUUUUUUUUUUGUUUUUCCUUAUUUCUAUUUUUUUAUCAUUUCAUUUCAAACAUUUUUUUUUUUUGCAAAUUAUUUGUUUAAAAUGUCAACAAAAAAUUUCAGGUGUCAACAAGAUCUCCAGAAACUGGAAGCAGUUGAAGGCCUUUUGCUUGUCGUAAAAUGGCAUCAAGAAUUGCCUUCUCAGGUUUUAGUGAACCCACCCGAGCAAUUAGAAUGCAUCAAUAUUUUCUAACCCUUUUCUCGGUUUGAAUUGCAGGUUCAUGGGAGACAUUCAAAUGACCACACGCUACCCGCCUUACUGUGACCACGGUGAGCGCUAUCCUAUGGCGGUAUUGGCUGUGAUCAUAGGAGUUGUCGUCCUAGUCAUUGGCAGCUUCAUUUUUUGGUGGAUGUUCAAAUGUGGUAGUUGGUCUCUCGUAGCAGCGCCAGUGGUGCUAGCAGAGGCACCUGCUGAGGCACCGGGGGAGGCGCCUGAGGAGGUAGGUGGAGCUCGUGGACAUGGCAUUCACUUUAGGAGCGUCAUCCCCGGAGUCUAGUUAGGUUAUUUGGAAGAUUCGCUUGUGCAAAUUGGGUGGUCCUAGACCGCAAUCUUGCAAUGGCAGUCGACGGUGACGGUCGGCAGUCGUGCGGUAGUCGUGUGGCGAUCGUGCAGCGGUCGUGCGACGAUCGUGCGGCGGUCGUGCGGCGGCAGUUGACGGUCCGUGAGUAAGAAAAAAACAAAUAAAUACAAAAAUUUAUAAAUUUUUACCAAACACAUUUUUAUUCUUUUUCUAUUCCAAGAAUAGAAAUUUUGUAUAAUUACCAAACACCUUAUUUUACUCAGAAAUUGUUCCUGGAAGUGUGAACAGAGAUGAAUGAAUAUUUCCCUUCAGUAAAUUGAAUCACAGAUCAAGAAAAAUAAGAUUCGAGAGAUAUUCCCAUUGGGUUGAAUCAAUCUGACUAGUCAGAUUAUUGUGCGACGAAGUGAUUUUUGUCAGACUCUUGGAUUUGCUGAGUGAUGGAAUUGAACCAGUAAAACUGUUGAAUGAGAGGUCCAAAUAAGUUUGCGAAAGAUUGGUGAAAGAGCUUGGGAUAAUUCCGUCAAAGUUGCAAUUCAUCAAUUCUACUCUUGAUAGAUUUCUGAGAUUACCAAUUGAUUCUGGGAGCCUUCCAGAAAUAUUUGUGAAACUAAGAACUAGUGUCCGAAGAGAACCAUUCUCUGGAAAUUCGGGCAAAGAACCCUAAAGGAGUUUGUUGAAUGAUAGGUCAAGGGUCUAAAGUGUUUGUACCUGGAAGAUUUUAUCAGGGAAUACUCCCUGUAGACCACAAGAAUUGAGAUGCAUAAUAGUUAAAUUGGAGAAGCGGGCAAAGAACUCUAGGACGGUGGUAGACAGAUUAUUGUCGUCCAGUUUAAUCACCGACAGAGAAGGAAUAUUCAUGAGGGAAGAGCAAGAUUCAAUGGGACCUGAUAGAUAACAAUUCUGCUCAAUACUUGAAGCUUCGGCAGUGAAGAAGACAAGGCAUUGCACAAUUCAUUGCCUGUAGCAGACACGAUCACUCCGUCAAGGUACAACUCUCAGCUCUCUAAGAUUCCCAACAAGCAUCUUCAAAUUCGGAUUCUCGAGUUUCAGUGAAGUGAGCCAAGGAAAAUAAUGCAUGGAUACAUCAAGAGUAACCAACCUUGUCAAAUGUGAUAUUCCCAUGAGAACCUGUCCUGUGAAGCCCGCAUUUGAAAGAUUCAGGUACACCAAAUUGGUGAGAUUACUGAACCCAUAUGGGAUCUGUCGCGACCCGAUCUCGCCGCCCCUCGAAAUGGCCAAGGAGGGGAAAGGUCGGGUUUAGGGGUACUUGAUCUCAAGAUCGCGAGCUCUCCCAAGCUCGUACCCCGCGUGACAGUAGGUUUAUUAUGCAAUCUAGUUGUUUAUAACAACCUAAAAUAUAUAGGAGUUGCCACUAGCCUAAUUUUGGGGUCGGCUAGAAACUCAAUCGAGGGUCGGGAGUGUUCCUCGAUUCCUACGUAACCAGAUAUCUAGGUUCGAGAACUUGGGUUACGCUAAUAUUGCUAUUAGCGCCCUUUCGGUACCUAAACAAUAUGUUGUGUUUUUUCCUAACAUGUUCAUCCAUCUCUUUUUAUAUUUUCAGAAUCGUCAAUUCUAUAUUAAAUGAUCAUACAUGGUGGAUUACUUUCCUUCUAUUCUAUUCCUAAAAAAAAGAAAGAAAAACAAUCAAUGAAAAUUAAAUUGCAAGACAUGAAGUAAACAAUCAAGAUAAAACAGUAAACCUAAUCAUGCAAUUCUAAAGAAUAUAAAAGAGAAAACAAUCGAAAAAGAAAUGAAACCCGCAACUCGUCGGGCUUUAUACAAUGCAUGAAACCCGAGACAUAUGUCGGGAAAACGAAUAUUACAUGACAAUGGUCGGAAUGGGCAUCGACCUUCACCAUCUUCACGCUUUAUCCAUGUUCAGGAUCCCUAUUCUAAACCUAGUCUAAGAAAUAAGAAUCCCUUGCCUCAUCUUAUAUGACUAAGACAACGCAUAGAAAUCAUUAUUACAACGAACGGACAUAGGCAUCAGACAUGAACAUGAAUCCAGCAAAAUCAAAUCACAAAUAGGACAAAAUACAAGGCAUGUUUAAAGGUUCGUAAGAUCACCUAGACAAUAUACAAAAAUGUGAAACUUGCACAUGACAUAAGGUUGAAUGCGAAAAAGGUUUGGGUAAACAUUUAACCCUAAAUCAUAAUGCAAAGAAGUCACACAAGUCAUUAACAUUGCAAAGUGACUUGGAACUGAGAAUGUCAUGCUUGACAAAUUCUAAUUGCAAUUAGCCAAAUGAGUGCAUGAUAUUCACAUCAAAAGAGAUUCAAAUAUGAUAUGCCAUGCAUUAAUGCGAAACUUGUAACACGUGUUUCGAAUGUCAAGAAGACAACGAGGCACAAGUUUCAUGCAUACAACUUCGUCAAAAAUGCAGCAAAAUAUCAGGAUGUCAUAACACAUUAAUAGUGAUUUGAUCUAAAAAGAAAAUCUGAAGAAUAUGAAAUUUUACCACAGCGCGAAUAAAGAAAGGCGAACAACAUUUGUUAAAGACCCAAUCUUAGAAUCCUUAACAAGAAAAUCAUAGAAGACUGACAAGAGGUUAGCUUCGACAAGGGAACAACAGGGGUUCUGAAUUUCAUUUUAUGACAGAUUUCUAUCAUGCGCAUCACCAGAGAAGUUGAGUCCAAUUGAUGUGCAAAUCAUGCAAAAUCAGCAUCAUAAGAAAGUGACAGACAAUCAGGCCCACAAUAACAGUAUAUGCAUUUCUGACCAAGGCAAAUUCCAGAUUUCAGAAUGGAUUAGAAAAAAUGUUAAACAUAGCAAACGAUGGUCGAUUCAGGCAUGCGAUAUAUCAUUUUAAAGCUUGAUAUGUCUAUUACAAAUCUCUAGAAGACAUUAAGUCCUAAUAAUAUCAUUUACCAGCUCGUUCCAAGGACCGAAGCAUAUCAGUCAAAACAUGCAUACGAAUUUCCACAUCAGAACAGAACACAACAAUUUUCCAGAAUUACUUCCUAGCUUUUAAAGAAAAUUCAUGUGGCUAAUGAUAUCGGAUCAGGGUGUAUUAUAAUUCGUUGGAAAGCUAGUCGAACCAUCUUCAGCUCUCAUGAAGGCUUCAAACACAGAGAACCACAGCAACCAGCUCGUAUCAGGUCAUUUACACAAAAGGUCAUCCGAAACAGAGAAUCAAUCAGAACAGCAAAAAUUUCAAACAAGGUCAGGGAUAUUCUAGACAUACUCGACCUGGGUAAAUGAUCUUCAAUUAUCACGAAAUUUUUAUUUGAUAUAGAUUGGAACCUAAUGAACAACUUUCAUUUAGGCAUCAACUUUAGAAUCUAAUCACAAAAAAUCAUGUGAAAAUGGCAAACAGCACAGGUCAUUAAAGGCAUGAAAACAGAACACUUAAUCAUUUACAAACUGUAGCUCCGUUUUUAACAAUUGUUGAAUCUAGUAAAUGCUGACCAAAUCCAAGAACUCUCGGCAUCUAUUACGAAAUAUUAAGAAAGAAGCAAAAUCUACCCAAACAUGCCCGCAUGCUGACACAAUCACAAUGUCUACAGAUUGAAAUUAGCAGAACUUCAUCAAAAGAACACAUUACAAAGUGCACAUUUUUGUACCAUAUGAGGAGGUAGACAAAAGGACUACAACAACAUAACCCAUAUAGAACAGAGCAGCAAAACAGCAAAACAGAACCAAUCUAAGACAGAAUUCAUCUAAUCUAUACUUAAUCCACAACUUCCAGCAUGCAAUCGAAAUGGUAACAUAGCAUAUGAGACUACAAAUUGUGAUUGUUUGAUGACAAAUUGCCAUGAAAUUGAAGCCAUAUUUUCUCACAAGCAUGAAUGAGUCUAUUUGAUCAAAAUGGCAUCAAUCCAUAACCAAACCACCCUCAAGUUGGAAUCAAAUCCACACCGAAUCAUGGGAUAUCAAAACAUGGUCAGCAUCUGGUAUAUGUAAUCUCGUAACUACUACAAUUGCAAAAAAAAAAAAAAAAACCAAGAACAGCCGACAGCAAUCCCAACAUAUCAUUUGCUUUAAAAGCUUUCAAACAUAAUAUGAAUGGCAGCUUAAAUCAAAGGUUAUGAUCAUUAAACUCUGCUGCCAGAAUAUCUACACCAAAAAAAGUCAGAUGCAAAGGAACCAGCAACCUUUUUCUGUUUACCUGCAUAUGUCACAUAGAAAACUAUGUAUGCCAACUGAAAAAUUGCACCCGUGGAGUUCACCAUCAUGACCAGCAUGUUGUCACUCGAUAUUACCGGCGUGCCAUGUGCAAAGCGAGACUAUACUAACCCCAACCACAGCCAUGAUCACUUACAAGUCGCAGCACUUCUAGGUUGGACUGACAGAACACUACCGAAACUACCGAAUGAAAACUAAAGGUAAAUCCAUGUUAUUGCUCUACAUAAAAGAAACACGAGACAAAGCAAUCGAACCACAGAGCAAUCCAAAAGAGAGAGCGACAGAUCGUGCACGAGACAGAGCAAUCAAGAGAGAGAAAGAGAGAGAAAGAGAACCUGAUCCGGCUAGCCCGAUCUAGAAAGAAAACCACCGAUCGAGCGAGCAGACGUCCGAUCUCCGAGAAAGAACCAAAUCCUCACGAUCUCCAACCGCCGGCGCUCGAUCUCCGAUUGCACGCCAAUGGAGGAAAACCUUCGCCUUCGACCAGAGCUCGGGAAAGAAAAGCAAAAACCGAGAGAUCCAGAGAGGGAGCUCUGAGAGAGAAUCGAGAACUGAGAGUCUCUCUGCUCGAGCAAGCUAACCUCCGAUCUCUAGAAAGAGAGACAGAUCUGCUGUCGCCGUCGUCGUCGAUGUCGCCGAUCAGAGAGCCGAACCUGCUCGAGAGCCACCAAGAGAGAAAAACGAAGAACCAGAGAGAUCA
rnacentral:lncRNA from 1 species